rnacentral:lncRNA from 1 species
GGUUUCUUGUACAGCACUUCAACCUCCCGUCCCUCUAUAUAAACAAUAGCCUCAGACAUUCAGCAUAUCUACUGUGGCUAUAUCCUAAGCUGACAGGAUCACUAUGAUGACUCCAUUACUCAUCACUUUUGCCGUUUCAUCUUUGUGGUUUCAAGCUGUUGGUCUGGGGGUUGAGGUUUACCAAACUCCUCCAGCACUUCUCAGAAGACCGGGCGACACAGUCCAGCUGGUCUGUAGCCACGGAAAAACAGACUACUACCUCAUGCAGUGGUACCAGAAAUCACCUGGAGACAGAGCUCUGAAACGAAUCGGACACGUUUAUUACGGCAACAUAGAACAUGAGGAGUCUUUUAAAAAACAUUUUAAUAUCACUGGAGAUAUGAGCGGAACCACAGCAAAGAAUGGAUCACUGUUUAUUGUUGACCUAAAGGCUCCUGAGCACACUGCUGUGUAUUACUGUGCAGCUAGCUAUGCACACUGACAACAUAUCCCCUCUCCUCUAUACAAAAACCCUGAAACACCUUUUUUUAACAUUUAUGGUUUGAAAUUAGAAAUUGAACAAACUCCUCCCAUCAACUGGGAGAAUAGUAUCAGUCAGCAACUCUACUAUGAUGCCUUCACUUCCUUUUCAGCUUGUUCACAGUCACACAUGAGGUCAGAUGUCAGAUCCUAGCACCUCCUCUACAACACUGGAACAUGUUGUCACGCAUGUUUUUUACAUGUUUAGGAACCAUUUUAUGUUGAGCAAGUCAAAAUGAUCGGUUUUCUCUUUUUCUGUUGCCUCUCAGGUAAUGUGUUUUAAUACUCUAACUUAGCAUAAAUGUGGAACUGUUUAUCAUUUAUAACCAAGUAAACACUUUGCUUUACUUUCCUUCUCGGUCCAGGUCUUGGUCUGGGUGUGGAGGUCCGUCAGUCUCCCUCGGAUUGUAUCACAAAGGCUAGAACAGUGCACAUUUUUUGCACCCAUGAUAAAACAGACUAUAGGGUCAUGUACUGGUACCAGCGUCCACCUGGAGACACAGCUAUGAAACUUAUAGGAUUCCUGAAUUACCAAGCUGUUACUAAAGAAAAGGCAUAUGAGGAAGAUUUUAGUAUCUCUGGAGACUUGGGGGGAGAUGCAAAAAAGAACAGCUCUCUAAUCAUCCAAGUGAAAGGAACUGAGCACAGUGCAGUUUACUACUGUGCAGCUAGCAAAGCACACUGACAAAAACCCCUUUUGAAUGUGACAAAAACUGCACAGAUGUUUAUCGUAAGUGGU